GAGAGCUCAAACAUUCUAACUUAUUCAAAGUGUCUACAUUCUAGAUUCUAGAACAAGAUUAGAAUGUUUUCAAAUUGUUUUCUAGUUUACAUGAGGGCCACAUUUCACCCAGUUUUUGAUAAAAUAACCUUUGCUUUUACAUGAAAUUCAAGAGGAUGUACUUGGAAAGAAAUAGUUUUGCCAAUACUUUCAAUCUCUUCAAAUGAAUAAGAAAAUUCCUCUGUCCUGGUCAUCAGUCUUCAUACUAAGUACUCUCAGGAUCUUUGCACAGACUUACAGAUGUCUUCACAAUCACAUUCAACCAACUACAAUCACCACAAUAUCCAGCAUCUCUUAUCCAAUGGUGAGAACUCCCUGGAUCCAGGGUUGAGGGAUCCUCAAUUAGCACACUUCUCUUUAAAAAUACAAAAUGAUGUCAAAUUUCCUGAAAAUAUCUUUAAAAGUCUUUUGAUCUCAAUAUUAACUUUGUAAGUAUUCAGGGAGACUCUGGGAUUCUCACUUGUCAAAUAAGAUGAAUAAAUUGUACAUGACAAGAAUAGAGGAAAAACAAAA